rnacentral:rRNA from 1 species
UGCGUAGGCGGCUUUUUAAGUCGGAUGUGAAAUCCCUGAGCUUAACUUAGGAAUUGCAUUCGAUACUGGGAAGCUAGAGUAUGGGAGAGGAUGGUAGAAUUCCAGGUGUAGCGGUGAAAUGCGUAGAGAUCUGGAGUAAUACCGAUGGCGAAGGCAGCCAUCUGGCCUAAUACUGACGCUGAGGUACGAAAGCAUGGGGAGCAAACA